rnacentral:rRNA from 1 species
GUGGGGAAUCUUCCGCAAUGGGCGAAAGCCUGACGGAGCAACGCCGCGUGAGUGAUGAAGGCUUUCGGGUCGUAAAACUCUGUCUUUGGGGAAGAAAAAAAUGACGGUACCCAAGGAGGAAGCCCCGGCUAACUACGUGCCAGCAGCCGCGGUAAAACGUAGGGGGCAAGCGUUGUCCGGAAUCACUGGGCGUAAAGGGCGUGUAGGUGGUAUGUGAAGUCAAAAGUGAAAUUCCAGGGCUUAACUGUGGACUUGCUUCUGAAACCAGCAUACUUGAGGACAGGAGAGGGAAGCGGAAUUCCCAGUGUAGCGGUGAAAUGCGUAGAUAUUGGGAGGAACACCAGUGGCGAAAGCGGCUUCCUGGCCUGUAACUGACACUGAGGCGCGAAAGCGUGGGGAGCAAACAGGA